AUGCUCUUUGCGGAUGAUGUGGUGCUAGUUGACGAUAGUCGGACGGGGGUAAAUAGGAAGUUAGAGUUAUGGAGACAAACCUUGGAAUCGAAAGGGUUUAGGCUUAGUAGAACUAAAACCGAGUACAUGAUGUGCGGUUUCAGUACUACUAGCUGUGAGGAGGAGGAGGUUAGCCUUGAUGGCCAGGUGGUACCUCGGAAGGACACCUUUCGGUAUUUGGGGUCAAUAUUGCAGGAGGAUGGGGGUAUUGAUGAAGAUGUGAACCAUCGAAUCAAAGCCGGAUGGAUGAAGUGGCGCCAAGCUUCUGGCAUUCUCUGUGACAAGAGAGUGCCACAAAAGCUAAAAGGCAAGUUCUACAGGACGGCGGUUCGACCCGCAAUGUUGUAUGGCGCGGAGUGUUGGCCGACUAAAAGACGACAUGUUCAACAGUUAGGUGUGGCGGAGAUGCGUAUGUUGAGAUGGAUGUGUGGCCACACGAGGAAGGAUCGAGUCCGGAAUGAUGAUAUACGAGAUAGAGUUGGGGUAGCACCAAUUGAGGAGAAGCUUGUCCAACAUCGUUUGAGAUGGUUUGGGCAUAUUCAGCGCAGGCCUCCAGAAGCUCCAGUGCAUAGCGGACGGCUAAAGCGUGCGGAGAAUGUCAAGAGAGGGCGGGGUCGACCGAUUUUGACAUGGGAGGAGUCCGUUAAGAGAGACCUGAAGGAUUGGAGUAUCGACAAAGAGCUAGCUAUGGACAGGGGUGCGUGGAAGCUUGCUAUCCAUGUGCCAGAGCCAUGA
rnacentral:rRNA from 1 species